rnacentral:rRNA from 1 species
GAUGAACGCUGGCGGCGUGCCUAAUACAUGCAAGUCGAACGCUUUGUGGUUCAACUGAUUUGAAGAGCUUGCUCAGAUAUGACGAUGGACAUUGCAAAGAGUGGCGAACGGGUGAGUAACACGUGGGAAACCUACCUCUUAGCAGGGGAUAACAUUUGGAAACAGAUGCUAAUACCGUAUAACAAUAGCAACCGCAUGGUUGCUACUUAAAAGAUGGUUCUGCUAUCACUAAGAGAUGGUCCCGCGGUGCAUUAGUUAGUUGGUGAGGUAAUGGCUCACCAAGACGAUGAUGCAUAGCCGAGUUGAGAGACUGAUCGGCCACAAUGGGACUGAGACACGGCCCAUACUCCUACGGGAGGCAGCAGUAGGGAAUCUUCCACAAUGGGCGAAAGCCUGAUGGAGCAACGCCGCGUGUGUGAUGAAGGGUUUCGGCUCGUAAAACACUGUUGUAAGAGAAGAAUGACAUUGAGAGUAACCGUUCAAUGUGUGACGGUAUCUUACCAGAAAGGAACGGCUAAAUACGUGCCAGCAGCCGCCGUAA